rnacentral:rRNA from 1 species
AGAUUGAACGCUGGCGGCAUGCUUUACACAUGCAAGUCGAACGGCAGCGCGGGGCAACCUGGCGGCGAGUGGCGAACGGGUGAGUAAUAUAUCGGAACGUACCCAAGAGUGGGGGAUAACGUAGCGAAAGUUACGCUAAUACCGCAUACGAUCUAAGGAUGAAAGCAGGGGACCGCAAGGCCUUGUGCUCCUGGAGCGGCCGAUAUCUGAUUAGCUAGUUGGUAGGUAAAGGCUACCAAGGCUACGAUCAGUAGCUGGUCUGAGAGGACGACCAGCCACACUGGAACUGAGGCACGGUCCAGACUCCUACGGGAGGCAGCAGUGGGGAAUUUUGGACAAUGGGCGCAAGCCUGAUCCAGCAAUGCCGCGUGAGUGAAAGAAGGCCUUCGGGUUGUAAAGUCUCUUUGUCAGGAAGAACGGUGAGGCUAAUAUCUUCACUAAUGACGGUACCUAGAAGAAUAAGACGACCGACUAACUACGUACCACGCAG